CGUCACUAUCACCGCCUACUUGGAUGACACCUUGGAGUUCACCGUCAAGUCUCCCUCCGUCUCCUGCUUCCCCAAUUAGUGCUCCAGAGUCGGGACGGCAGCAGCCGCCCUGGUCAUAUCGGUGCCUCCUCCGUCACCUUCUUGUAAGCACCUCUCAGUCGAGGCCAUCUGCAAGUCAGUGCCGCGACAUCUCUGAUCGAUACCACCGGAUCAAUGGAAAAACAAGUAAGCAGAACAAAAGCAAUACAACCUCAAUAAGAGCGGGCAUGAUCCACUGCGAUUAUGAAACAGAUCCUAUUUCCAUCGGAAUGUUAUUUGGGGUGGGGCUAAGCUCAUGAUGUGAGAAUUGGAGAGCUUCAAGGGUAAUACACAGUUGUGGAAGACCACCUUUAAGAAGAACUUGGAGAUUGAUGCCAUGGUCAUCUGCCUCCUAGCAUAUUCCUCACUUCCUGUAGCUCCUUCCUUCUCGAGCACCCGAAAUUUCUAAUUGCCGUAGUCCAUCUUGUUUCCCUCCUCAGAUGAGAGACGUCAGAGUAAUUCGAGUAGAGUCUUGUAUUUGUUGUGUACUAUUAUGUCUCUGAUAUUAUACGAAUCGUGAUCUAUUUCCAAAUAA